ensembl:lncRNA
CCAUAUGAUGAAAUAAUGUAAAGGAGGGCGUGAAAAACACUCCAGAAAGGUUUUCUUUAAAAAAAAAAAAUCAUCAUGAAUUUUGGCGCAAAAAAAACGCCUUACUAUACUAUGUCGAAAAAAAAUGGGAUUUUUUAAACAUGUUGUAAAAACGUGCCAUAUGAUGAAAUAAUGUAAAGGAGGCCGUGAAAAACACUCCAGAAAGGUUUUCUCUGAAAAAAAAAUCAUCAUGAAUUUUGGCGCAAAAAAAACGCCUUACUAUACUAUGUCGAAAAAAAAUGCAAUUUUUCAAAC